AGAUGAUGUCUCUGAUGAUGAUUGCUCUGUUCAAACCACAGUCUAUGGUUCAAACUAAUGUUCACACUAAUGAACUAAUGUACUUUAAUUAGUACAGAAUACAUUCUUUUGUAAGAAGAAAAAAAAAAAAAAAAAUAAAUAUAUAUAUAUAUAUAUAUAUAUAUAAUUAUUUUAUUUAUUUAUUUAUUUAUUUUAUUUUAUUUUUACAUUUUAUUCAUUUAGAAAUGAGGACAAUAGAAGUAGAAAUUUAUAAUUGAUCUUUUCUCAUUUAUAUGCACCUCAUUUUAUUGAUCAGUUACAUUUUAUUUAUUUUUUUGAAAAUAUAUAAGUAGACAUUGUUGAAAGGUAUUUUUAACAAGGUCUUUAUUUAUAAAUAUUUCAGUAUGAAAAAUGUAUUUGAUAUCUUUUAUUUAUAAAUAUUUAUAUUAACAUUUUCUCAUUUAUAUUUCAAAUUUUAUUUACAAACGUGUCUAUUUAUACAUAUCCCUCACGAUAGAAAUGUAUUUGAUACCUUUUAACAAGAUGUUUUAUUCAAAGAUAUAUAUUUAUAUUAACAUGUAUUAAUUUUGUACUCAUUUUGUCAGCUUUUAUAUUUCAGAUUUUUCAUAAAUAUUUAUAACACAUAUUUGUAUUUAUAUUUACCAACAUUUAUGCAUCUCAUUUAUGCAAAAUUAUUUAUAAAAUUUAUAUUUAUACAUUUCUGCAACAUUUACAUAAAUACAGAAAUGUACAAAAUGUUAAGAGAUUUAUUAUUGUUAUUUUACAUUUUUUGUAGAGCUACAAAAUGUAUAUGCCAGCAUAUUCAAAAGCUGAAGUUCUGUGUCUACAAUAAAGUGCAGGCUUCAUAUAUGGUGAUUGGGUGCUGUCCGUUUUCAGAGAACAGAGUCGCGAUAGAGACCGAGAUAAGGAGAAGAAGCGUGAUCGUGAGGAAGAUGAGGAAGAGGCGUAUGAACGGCGUAAGCUGGAGAGGAAGCUGCGAGAGAAAGAGGCGGCGUAUCAGGAGCGUCUGA
rnacentral:lncRNA from 1 species